rfam:Microgenomates (Woesebacteria) bacterium GW2011_GWA1_43_12 TV66_C0001, whole genome shotgun sequence.
GCGGGAUUAGUUAAUCGGCUUAACAACAGCUUUCCAAGCUGUGAAGAGGGGUUCGACUCCCCUAUCCCGCU